rnacentral:rRNA from 1 species
UGCAGUCGAACGGCAGCACGGAGCUUGCUCUGGUGGCGAGUGGCGAACGGGUGAGUAAUAUAUCGGAACGUACCCUAGAGUGGGGGAUAACGUAGCGAAAGUUACGCUAAUACCGCAUACGAUCUAAGGAUGAAAGUGGGGGAUCGCAAGACCUCAUGCUCGUGGAGCGGCCGAUAUCUGAUUAGCUAGUUGGUAGGGUAAAAGCCUACCAAGGCAUCGAUCAGUAGCUGGUCUGAGAGGACGACCAGCCACACUGGAACUGAGACACGGUCCAGACUCCUACGGGAGGCAGCAGUGGGGAAUUUUGGACAAUGGGCGAAAGCCUGAUCCAGCAAUGCCGCGUGAGUGAAGAAGGCCUUCGGGUUGUAAAGCUCUUUUGUCAGGGAAGAAACGGUGAGAGCUAAUAUCUCUUGCUAAUGACGGUACCUGAAGAAUAAGCACCGGCUAACUACGUGCCAGCAGCCGCGGUAAUACGUAGGGUGCAAGCGUUAAUCGGAAUUACUGGGCGUAAAGCGUGCGCAGGCGGUUUUGUAAGUCUGAUGUGAAAUCCCCGGGCUCAACCUGGGAAUUGCAUUGGAGACUGCAAGGCUAGAAUCUGGCAGA